rnacentral:rRNA from 1 species
AACGAACGCUGGCGGCGCGUCUUAAGCAUGCAAGUCGAAUGGCAAGGAGGUGCUUGCACCUCCCUAGAAUGGCGGACUGGUGAGUAACACGUGGGUGACAUACCCUUAGGACGGGGAUAGCUUCUAGAAAUAGAAGAUAAUACCGGAUACGACCACUACAGUUAGAGUGUAGUGAGGAAAGGGGCUACGGCCCCGCCUGAGGAAUGGCCCGCGGCCCAUUAGCUAGUUGGUGAGGUAAAGGCCCACCAAGGCGAUGAUGGGUAUCCGGCCUAAGAGGGUGAACGGACACAUUGGGACUGAGAUACGGCCCAGACUCCUACGGGAGGCAGCAGCUAAGAAUAUUCCGCAAUGGACGAAAGUCUGACGGAGCGACGCCGCGUGGAUGAUGAAGGCCGUGAGGUUGUAAAGUCCUUUUGAACCUGACGAAUAAGCGCGGGAGGGAAUGCCCGCGUGGUGACGGUAGGGUUUGAAUAAGC